GGGAAUAUUGGGCAAUGGAGGAAACUCUGACCCAGCGACGCCGCGUGCGGGAUGAAGGCCUUCGGGUUGUAAACCGCUUUCAGUAGGGAAGAAGCGAAAGUGACGGUACCUACAAAAGAAGCACCGGCUAACUAUGUGCCAGCAGCCGCGGUAAUACAUAGGGUGCAAGCGUUGUCCGGAAUUAUUGGGCGUAAAGAGCUCGUAGGUCGUUUGUUACGUCGGAUGUGAAAACCUGAGGCUCAACCUCAGGCCUGCAUUCGAUACGGGCAAACUAGAGUUUGGUAGGGGAGACUGGAAUUCCUGGUGUAGCGGUGGAAUGCGCAGAUAUCAGGAGGAACACCAAUGGCGAAGGCAGGUCUCUGGGCCAAUACUGACACUGAGGAGCGAAAGUCUGGGGAGCGAACAGGAUUAGAUACCC
rnacentral:rRNA from 1 species